GAUGAACGCUAGCGGCAGGCCUAAUACAUGCAAGUCGAACGGUCAGUAGCAAUACUGAUAGUGGCGCACGGGUGCGUAACACGUAACUAACCUACCUAUAACUGGGGGAUAGCCCGCCGAAAGGCGGAUUAAUACCGCAUAAGCUCUUUGGCUGGCAUCAGCUGAUUAGUAAAGAUUUAUUGGUUAUAGAUGGGGGUUGCGGGUCAUUAGCUAGUUGGUUGGGUAAACGGCNGACCAAGGCGACGAUGACUAGGGGAGCUGAGAGGCUGGU
rnacentral:rRNA from 1 species